rnacentral:lncRNA from 10 species
AAAAUGUCUUUCCAGAAGCUGCAUGCAAACAUUCUAUCAUAUCUCCAUAAUUUAUGUAAAAUAGGUUUUGGGGCCAACAGGUGGUGUUUGGUUAUAUCAGUAUUCAGGUGGAGAAGAAAGGAAUAUUCUAUUUGACACUGAUCAUGAGUGAAUUCCAGAUGGGCUGAAGGAAUGAAUUUCCACUCAAAUGAGAAAAUGAAAAUCUAAGGGAAAGAGAAAUGUUGGCCCACUGGAGUAAUUGUCCAAAAACCCACAUAUAAGAAAACAUAAAAUGCAUAAAAUUCUAAUAACGUCUGGAAUCUACAAGGAACUCAAACAAAUUAGCAAGAAAAAAAAACAAAUUAUCCAUUCAAAAAAUGUGCAAAGGACAUGAACAAACAAUUCUCAAAAGAAGAUAUACAAAUGACCAACAAACAUCUGAAAAAAUGCCCAACAUCACUAAUGAUCAGGGAAAUGGAAAUACUUUACACAGGACUGACUAGGCAGCUGGUUUGACGCGUGGAAAGGAAGGAGGAGCAGUGUGGUGCAGUGGCCAAACUGAGAGCCAUACAAGGCAGACAAGCCCCCAUCCCCGGCCAAGGGAGGCGGUGAGUGAGCUUGUUACCAAAGCCUGGAAAACUGUGCAUUUUCCACGGAACUGUGCAACUCACUAAUUGAAAGAUCUCACUUGUGACCCCACGACACCAGGGCCUUGGGUCCCAACCGUGGAGCCACUCAGAUUCUCAAUAGCCACUGGGCUAGAAUCUGCCUCAGCUUGCAGAGUUCCAGGGGGAGGGGCAACCAUCACCACUGCUGUGGCUGCCUGCUGUCUAAACCAUCUGAGCUCCUUCAGGGAGGGGCGGCAGCCAAUACUGUGGCUACAGGGACUCUCUGCAGGAAUGCCAACAACUCUAGCCAGGGGCUAAAGGAAGGAACUCUGAUCUCCCUGGGCCUGAGCCCCUAUAGGGAGAGGUGGCUGUAGUCUCCACAGACCAGCUGACUUAGUCUUUUUGCCUGUUAACUCUGAGGAAUGUGGACAACCCAGACGAAUGGUUUUCCCCUCAGUGCAGCACACCCCCACCACCAAGGGACAGCCAAAGUGCUGAAAUCAAGAAGGCAGAAAUCAAGAAGUUCUUUGAAACCAAUGAGAACAAAGAGACAAUAUACAACAAUCUGUGGGACACAGCUAAACCACUGUUAAGAGGGAGAUUUAUAGCACUAAAUGCACACAUCAAAAGGCUAGAAAGAUCUCAAAUAGAUACCCUAACAUUAUAAUUAAAAGAAUUAGAGAAAGCUGGGCGUGGUGGCUCAUGCCUGCAAUCCCAGAACUUUGGGAGGCUGAGGUGUGCAGAUCACAAGGUCAGGAGAUCGAGACCAGCCUGGCUAAUAUGGUGAAGCUACUCCUCUAUUAAAAAUACAAAAAAUUAGCCAGGUGUGGUGGCACACGCCUGUAGUCCCAGCUACUCAGGAGGCUGAGG